UCUACCGCGUUGACGUUUCGCAAUAAUAUACACUCUUUGUACAUCAGGCGUUACGCGAGUAGUUACACCUAGUGAGCAAGCGAUGCUUACUCUGCAGCACAUCGAUAUUUCGAACCCGUAUAAGACAUUCCUCGGAGUUCUUUAACUCGCUGACAACAAAACGAUAUUCCUACAGCGAGUCAGGCACAACGGUAGCAACAUCGGGAGCAGCUGCGAUGUGUGUUAUGACAAUAAUUAGCGCUUGCGCACAGUUUAUCAUACGGUGGUAUAUAUCACGUAUUAUGUGUACAUGGAUAGUCCAAUGUAUUACACCUUUUGACAAUAAAUUUAUUCAAGUCGU